GUGUGGGGGAUCAUUCUCCUGAAGUCCCAAAUAUUCAGUCAGAAACUGAAUUCCCUCCCUUGCCAAAGUGUGUUCCAUCAGAACAGGUGAAAGGCAAAGGCCAAACUAAAGUAAUUGGUAAACCACCAGACAGUCAUCUAAAGACCAAAGAUGGACAACAAAAGCCUAGGUUUGAAGAGCAGUCAAAGGCGAGCUUAACAGUCAGGAAGGAGAUUGGUGUGGUGGAUCAUUCUCCAGUGGUUCCAAAUAUUCAGUCACAUACUGAAUUCCCUCCCUUGUCCAAGCAUGACCCAUCAGAACAAGUGAAGGACAAAGUCCAAACUGAAGUUAUUGGUAAACCACCUGACAGGCAACUUAAGACCAAUGCUGACCAACAAAAGCCUAGGAUUGAAAAGCAGCUAAGGACAAUUUCAACAGGCAGGAAGGAGAUUGAUGUGGUGGAUCAUUCUCCA